ACCCUUCUGAACAUGUCAUCAUGUCAGCCUCUCUGUCAUUUUAAGAUGGAGCAGCGUCUGUCUCCAAGUCUCUCCUCUGUGUCUUAACAUUUAAAAGUACACCUAUUUAUACCUUAGGUGUCUCCAUUUUAGGUUACUGUAGUUCAAAUAUGAAAAAGUAACACUUUUACUUUAUUCAAUUUAGGACCUCCCUUAAUUUGGCAAACAUACAAGGCCAUAACUAAAGGGUGCAUACGUCAUGGAAAUUUUCCUGACUUAGUUCAAGAUGGCAUCUUAAAGUCUGAAUAGGUUAUAUGUUGUUUAUACUAAGUCGUAAGUGUACAGUCGUGGGAGAUUCCCGGAUUUGGGGAAGUUCCAUUAACUUGGGGUUACCACAGUAUAUUGUGUACUGCAAGAGUCAUAGCAUAGCCUUGAAGCUUGUUUAUGCAUUAUUGUUAUUGUAAUUCGUCUGGGACAAAAUGGCGCAAACAUAUUAUGCACUGAGGUUAUUGCUUAAAGAUACAGUUAUGAAAAACAAUAUGUUCCAUUUCUAACACCUUGUCAGUUUGCAAUAUCUCUUAAAGACAAAGAACACAGUUUAAGAAAUACAACAUUUCAUUCUAAAACUUGUAAUAUUUGCAUUUGCCCAUAACACCCUCUCCAUUAAACUGUGGGCAUUGUAGCGCAUUUCUUCCUUAAAUUAGUAAACCAAAGUUGUCCAACAGUCUUUAGGUUUUUGUGCUCACAGCAUCAUUGAUCAUUGUUGUAACAGUAAAAUAUCCGUAGUGUGAUCUUUGCCUGUAAAGGUGGUUGAUUAAAAUGAGCAAAGCUUUUGUCUGGGAAAGAAUUGAAAAGAACAACAAGUUCCAGAGUAAGAUAUUCUUAUAUUCUUGGAUGGAUCCGGAUACGAAUUGUAAUCCAAAGUUAAAAGUAGUAAUUGUAUUUGUAAUCCAAAGUCUGUAAAGGCCUGUAGAAGUUUACAUUUUUUAGAUACAUUGCUGGAGGUUGUGUUUGUAGAAUACCCGGGUAUUUGUUGGAGAGUAUAGGUUGUAGAGUCCAGCUUUCCAAAUAUUUGGAUAGAAUUGGUUGCAGAUAUUGAAUCAGCAUCAUCUGUUAUUACCGUGGUGAUGGUGUUGGUAUUUGACUUUGUCUUUUGUCUUUGCUUUUUAUUUUGUUUGUUUUUUCCAUGAAACAUUUUUACACCAUUUAUGAUGUGUAUAGAUUGGAUACUCUCCGAUAUUCUUUUACGGAAUAAAUUAAUUGACAAUUUCCAAGACAUUGUCUUAAGUGACAUGGAUCCCAUUAUAGUAAAUUUUAUGUUGAUACAGCAAUCGAAGUGGAUUCUCAAGAACGCCUCUUUUUGCUGUAUUGGAAUCUUUGUAACAUCCCAGUGAUAGACAUCUCACUGACAUCAGGUGCUGUUGUGCUAAAAAUGUUAACAGGUAAAAUCUGUGGAAAAAUCUUUACAUUUGUUAUACUUUGUAUAAUAAUGAUAGAUGAAAUAGUAACAUAGUUAAUCUUUCUAGUGUUUUGUAUUAAAGAUAAACACUCUUGUAUAUGAUUUAGAGAUAUAAGGAUAAUUUGAAGCAGC